rnacentral:rRNA from 1 species
UACGUAGGGCGCAAGCGUUAUCCGGAAUUAUUGGGCGUAAAGGGCUCGUAGGCGGUCUGUCACGUCGGGAGUGAAAACUCAGGGCUUAACCCUGAGCCUGCUUCCGAUACGGGCAGACUAGAGGUAUGCAGGGGAGAACGGAAUUCCUGGUGUAGCGGUGAAAUGCGCAGAUAUCAGGAGGAACACCGGUGGCGAAGGCGGUUCUCUGGGCAUUACCUGACGCUGAGGAGCGAAAGUGUGGGGAGCGAACAGG